UCAUGCAAGAUAGCCCAAGAAUUUACAGGACCAGGCGGCUUUUUGCCAGGAAGAAUGGGCAGCUUUACCAUCUGAGAAGAUAAAGAGCCUCAUCCACCUAUACCACAAAAGACUUCAAGCUGUCAUUGAUGUUAAAGGGGGCAAUACACCAUAUUAAGAACUGGGGUGACACUUGAGGAUAACAGAAUGCAACAUUAAUUCAGCAGACAGAAAAAUUCUGGGGACAUCUGUUCCCCAAACAUCUACAGCAAGUUUGACAUGUUACACUGUACAACUACUUCACAACAGAUGGUAACUGAGUCUAAUUUUACAA